GUGCCUUUCUUUACUCUCUCUCUCACCUCCCAAGCUGUCUAGUAGAACUUCUGCCGAAAGAUCAAGCAACUCCAACUUGAAUAGUUUUCUUAAUUCCUUAAUUUUAUGCCUAAUUUCUCUUAUUCUUGAUUGUUCUUCCAACAACAAAGGAAAGAAAACGAAGAAAUAUUGAUCUUAAUAAAACUACUACAAAAGUUGGGUGGGUGAGGGGAGGGGUGUGGAGAACUUAGCUGGGUUCACGGAUCUGGAAAACAUCCGGAUCCAAUUGUCCGUCUUCUACACCCGCGUUCAUAGUUCAAUGUUUCAAACCAAAUUCUUUUCUUUUUACUUUUCAUUCCAUUAUUCUCUGUAAAUUCAGAUUUCUUUCAGCUGAACAGAUAUGAAUAUUUGGUCAUUGAAUAUAAGAACCCGUUAAUGAAGUUUUCAAUUCAUCUUC